rnacentral:rRNA from 1 species
AGUGAACGCUGGCGGCGUGCUUAACACAUGCAAGUCGAACGAGAACGGAAUAUAGCUUGCUAUAUUUGUCAGCUAAGUGGCGCACGGGGGAGUAAUGUAUAGAUAACCUGCCCUUAAGAAAGGAAUAACAGUUGGAAACGACUGCUAAUGCCCUAUAUGCCUUUAAUACAUAAGUAUGCAAGGGAAACGCUUUAGUGCUUAAGGAUGGGUCUGUAUGGUAUCAGCUUGUUGGUGAGGUAAUGGCUCACCAAGGCUAUGACGCCUAACUGGUUUGAGAGGAUGGUCAGUCGCACUGGAACUGAGACACGGUCCAGACUCCUACGGGAGGCAGCAGUGGGGAAUAUUGCACAAUGGACGAAAGUCUGAUGCAGCAACGCCGCGUGGAGGAUGACACAUUUCGGUGCGUAAACUCCUUUUAUAUAGGAAGAUAAUGACGGUACUAUAUGAAUAAGCACCGGCUAACUCCGUGCCAGCAGCCGCGGUAA